CUCUAACUACCACUGAAAGCCAUCUGACCACCCCUGUUCUCAGGACAGGCGAGAACCUCUACUCGCAAUAAAGAUGAUGGAGCUGAGUAAGAAAAAACAGUAAGGAGUUACCCAAAGCCAAAUCGAGGGCACAUGACUUGGGAUCACCUCUUCUUUCACAAGCAGCUCCCCUUGUAUGCAGCCAUGCAUCUGAGGUGGCCAAAGAGAAAAGGGUUGAGGAAAUGGUCAUAGGAGGGAAGUUUCUAGAAGUGGAAGUGUUAUUUGUUGGCUUUCUGAAUAAAGCUAAUAAAAUCUACAGGUAUUGGACUCCCAACUUGGAUAUAAGAGGGGAUUCUUUGUCACACUCUAAGAACUGACGCUGAGAUACUGUGGGUAGGAGACGAUCUGGCAAUUUUUCUGAAGCAAUUGCCUUAGAAAUGUAAAUUACUAAUAAAGCUAUUUUUAUUUGUCCCCA
rnacentral:lncRNA from 1 species